UACAGAGGUCUCAAGCGUUGUUCGGAUUCAUUGGGCGUAAAGGGUGCGUAGGCGGCGCGGUAAGUCGGGUGUGAAAGUCAAAGGCUCAACCUUUGAAUGUCAGCGGAUACUGCCGGGCUAGAGUCCGGAAGAGGCGAGUGGAAUUCCUGGUGUAGCGGUGGAAUGCGCAGAUAUCAGGAGGAACACCAACGGCGAAGGCAGCUCGCUGGGACGGUACUGACGCUGAGGUGCGAAAGCGUGGGGAGCAAACAGG
rnacentral:rRNA from 1 species